rnacentral:rRNA from 1 species
GUACGUAGGGGGCUAGCGUUGUCCGGAAUCAUUGGGCGUAAAGCGCGUGUAGGCGGUCCGGUAAGUCCGCUGUGAAAGUCGAGGGCUCAACCCUCGAAUGCCGGUGGAUACUGUCGGGCUAGAGUGCGGGAAGAGGCGAGUGGAAUUCCUGGUGUAGCGGUGAAAUGCGCAGAUAUCAGGAGGAACACCUAUUGCGAAGGCAGCUCGCUGGGACGCAACUGACGCUGAGACGCGAAAGCGUGGGAGCAAACAGG